CUAUGCGCCUUGCCAGCCCGCUCAGGUGUGCCAGCCGCCGCGGUAAUACGUAGGGAGCGAGCGUUAUCCGGAAUUAUUGGGCGUAAAGGGUGCGUAGAUGGCAUAGUAAGUCUUUUGUAAAAAUGCUGGGCUCAACCCAGUAGGGCAAAAGAUACUGCAAAGCUAGAGUAUGACAGAGGCAAGUGGAACUACAUGUGUAGCGGUAAAAUGCGUAAAUAUAUGUAAGAACACCAGUGGCGAAGGCGGCUUGCUAGGUCGAUACUGACAUUGAGGCACGAAAGCGUGGGGAGCAAACAGG
rnacentral:rRNA from 1 species